UACAGAGACUGCAAGCGUUAUUCGGAUUCACUGGGCGUAAAGGGUGCGCAGGCGGCCAAGUGUGUCAGGUGUGAAAUCCCGAGGCUUAACCUCGGAACUGCGCCUGAAACUACUUGGCUAGAGUACUGGAGAGGGUAACGGAAUUCACGGUGUAGCAGUGAAAUGCGUAGAUAUCGUAAGGAAGACCAGUGGCGAAGGCGGGUCUCUGGACAGUUCCUGACGCUGAGGCACGAAGGCCAGGGGAGCAAACGGG
rnacentral:rRNA from 1 species